UUACGGCCAUAGCACAUUGAAACACCGGUUCCUGUACGACCACCGAAGUUAAGCAAUGUCGAGCCUGGUUAGUACCUAAGUUGGUGACCGCCUGGAAAUACUAGAUGCUAU